GUCUCCUUUGAAGUGUAAAUUUGUGCUGCCCGGCUCCCUUUACUCAAACCUCAGGGUGUUGCGAGUGACUGUGGACCUAAAAUCCCAGCGCUCGGCCCUCCUACCCCUGUAAAUCCAGACGUCGCCGUUACGGGUCGGGUAUCUUUCAUUUGGGUUUGAAUUCGCUACGCGGCUGGUCCCUGCCCUUGGCUUUUCUGCCUUCGGUCCACGUACACACCGCCUUUCACUACAUUUUCCUGCUUAAAACGCUUUAGUAGCCCCCCACACACACCCAUGUAACGUCCCCUUCCGCGAGGUGGACUCGCGCCCCGCAGCCUCGCCCUCUCGGCCCCUGGAGGGCAGCGCCUGCCGCCCCGCUCCCGGACAGGCCGCGUCCUCUCCCCGGUCCUGGGAUUCUUCAGAACCGGCCCCUCUCCGGAACCCCCUUCUUCCCCGCCCCUCUGUCCUCGCGUCUCCUCAGGCCGGUCCUUUUGCUCUCCCGGCUUCCCCUUCGUAGUCAGCCCUUCCUCUCCCCCGGCGUGGGGGGCGGGGAGUGACCUGGGACAGGCGUGUGACACCCAGUGUUCUUCCGUCCCAAGCCCAUCUCGCUGGAAAAUUUCCUCUUUUGAUACGCGGGCAUCUUAUUCAGUCACCAUCUCUGUAAAUACGUGGGCGAGGGGGAUCAGGAGGAGCAGAGACAGACGGACAGGAAUAAAAAACAGAACGAGAAAAGAAUGAGGGAGAUUCGAUGGGAAUACAGGGGGUGGCUGAGGACUUGUAAAAGACAGGGAAAUGAAAGCGAUUAAGCACUGAAAUAGGUGAAAAAAAUAAAGAAGUAAAUUUUUAAAAAGUCGGAUCUCCAGGGAUGGGAGAGCAACACAGGGCCCUGGGUCAGCGGCGGGAUGGGGGUAACAAAGGAGAGGCACUUAACACAGAGUGGGCGAGAGGAUGAAAGAGUUGGAAACUUGGGCUGCAGAGCAACGUGGUGCUGGGAGAGAAAGAGGACAAAGUGUGACUAGAAGAGAAGAGGAAGAGAGAGAGAGAGAGCAGGAAGGAAGCGCAGCCAUCUGAGAUGCCAGAUAGGGAGGAGGAAGGGCGUGUAACAGGGACAGAAGGGGUGUCACCCGAAGGGCAGAGAGGGAGCAGGUGGGGGAAGAAAGAGGCAGAAAUACAUAGAGAUUUAGGGUAAUCAGAAGGGUUGGGGAGAAAGAGCAUCAGGAGGGGGAACAGGUUGCAGAGUUGGGCAGGACAGGUGUGAGGGAGGAAAUAGGAGGGCAGGAACAGCAGCAGAGCAGAGGGGAACAAGAAGAGAGACAGAGACAAAUAAAAAAAUAGGGAGACAUAAACCUCAUGAAAUGGAAACACAUUGUAGUGCAGGUAGGUGGUGGGAGCUGGCUGCAGAUGGAUGGUGAGUUGUUUGGAUAUGGAUGAUUAAGUUGUGAUACAUGAUUUGUUAUUUUAAAAUGUAAUUAAUUUUUCUUUAAUUAUACAGAUGAGGAUGAGAAUUGCAGAACUCCUGUCAUGUGCAUUUUGUAAUUAUUUGUAUCAGAAGAUAACUUCCAUUUGCAAACCCUGUUUAGCCAGGGGGCAGUGAUUUGCUUACUAAGUUAUUUCUUGGAGGCCUGCCUGCUUUCUCCUCUUUAUCUUUUGUACCGGAAAAGCUCUUUGAGGAAGAGGAGGAAGGGGAAAACAGAGGAGUCAGGAAUGACUCUUUCUCAGAUUUCACACCCAUGGAUUGGAGAUGGGGUGUCAGUGCUCCUGGGCAGCAGGGAUUGUUGAGAGACCCCAUCUGGAUGCACUGUCUGCUCUCUGUCAACCAGGAUAAAGAAGCUGCACAUGCAAGUCAGGUAUUAAUAUGCACAAUACCUGGUAAAAUCUGGAAAACAGAACGAUAAGGGGGAAUUUUUUUUUCCAUGGCUAAGAAAUUUAUUUAACCAAACAAUGAAAAACCAAUAAAGGGAUCAAAGUCAAGAGUGGUCUGAUCACAAGGACACUUUCCAGUUUUAGUAUACGUGCUGCCGAAGCGAGCACAACAAGGACGCUUUGAGGAAGGAAGAUUAUAGGCUGGCCGAUCUCACCCCUAAAUAUAAAUGCAAAAAUCUUAAACAUAGCAUUAGCACACUAUGUCAUGGGUCUCAAUUAUUUGUCUCCCCAUCCUAUGGGAGAAUUAUACUUCUAAUUCUCUAUGGGCAUCAGGCACGGUCAGAGGACUUGCUUAAGCCAAUAAAAUGUGAGCAAAAGUGACCCACGCCCUUUUCAAGCCGAAGCUUUAGGAGCCAUCCUGUGGUUCUACCAUGGAUCCUUCUGUGAUAUGAGUAGGGUGUCCUAGAUAAGGACUGCUCUACCCUUUUGGGUUCCAGAAUGAAGAAAAUGUGAAUAUUGCAGCCAAAAUUUAACCUGAGCACAAAAUAAACCCUGUUGCUCCAAAAAGAAAAAAAACAGUGGUCUGAUCAGAUUUGCGUUUUAGGACAUUAUAUUGGCAGCAGAGUUACCUGAUUUCACUUAUCUAAUUGCCUGAAAGAGACAAUAGACAUCAUUUAGAUAGGGAUAUGUUGAAAAGCUGAUCUCUGGUGGCCUCGGCCUACAGAGGCUUGAAGCAGAAUCUCAGCUCCCAGGUGGAGGUUGAAGUCAGGUCGUGGCAGUGAGAGUGCUGAAUCCUAGCCCCUAGACCACGAGGGCCAGUGGCCAUUGACAAGGCCCCUGGCCCGAAUUCGUUCAUAGAAACGAAUUGCGACAGACGGAAAGUAGUGAAACAAGUAAAGUGUUUAUUAGGAGGCAAAAGAGUACGUCUGAAUAGACAUACACGGGCAGGCUCAGAGAAAGAGUCAUACCUUUGUGGUAGUUUGAAUCACUUACAUAGGGCAUUUCUUCUGGGUUUCCUCUGGACAGUCAUCUUGCUUUGUCUGGCUCCGAGUCUGUAUUUGGUUUAUCCCAGGGUCCUCUCCUGUGUGUGCACGAGUCUCUCAGCCAAGGUGGAUUCUAGCGAAGACGCAUUAAGGGGAAAUUUGUUCUGACUUACUCAGAGACUCAGUUGAAGCUAAAGGAGCAAGUCACUGACUUAAUCUUAAUGAAUGGGAAUGGAAUGGAAAGUUCAGAACCUUACAUCAGUGACAGAGGGUGUUUUCUUCCAUCCUUGAAUUUAAACCAUGAAAUCAACCUAAAUCUCUGACAGUUGGACAUUCUUUAAAUCACCUUCAUCACCUCCAUUCCUCAGAGGCUGACUUUACCUGUGGAUUGUAUCCUUUGAGACAGAAGUUUUUACCUUUAAUGUAGGUAAGGUUCCAGCUUCAUUCUUUUGCUAGUAGGUAUGUAUUUUCUCAGCACCAUUUCUUAUUGAGACUAUCCUACCUUUUGUGUAGUCUUGGCACCCUUGUCUAUGCAUUUUACAUAUAUUCCAAGGAUUAUUUGAGUUUUCUAAUCUGUUCCAUUGGUUUAUGUAUCUGUGUUUAUGCCAGUACCACAUCAUGUUGAUUACUUUGUAAUAGGUUUUAAAAUCUAAAAAUGACUGCCUUCCUCUUCUUUUUCAAGAGUAUUUUGGCUGUUCGCUGCCUCUUGACAUUCCCUAUGAAUUUUAGCAUUUUUUUCUAUUACUGCAAAAAUUGCCUUUGAAAUUUUAUAUAGGGAUUCCGUUGAAUCUGUAGAACACUUUGGGUAAUUUGUUCAUUUUGUUCUUUUUUUUUCUUUU